CCUACGGGCGGCAGCAGUGGGGAAUAUUGCACAAUGGGGGAAACCCUGAUGCAGCGACGCCGCGUGAGUGAAGAAGUUUUUCGGUAUGUAAAGCUCUGUCAGCAGGGAAGCAAAGGACGGUACCAGACCACGAAGCACCGGCUAACAACGGGCCAGCAGCCGUGGUAAUCCGUAGGGGGCCAGCGUUAUACGGAUUUACUGGGUGUAAUGGGAGCGUAGACGGCAGGGCAAGUCUGGAGUGAAAGGCGGGGGCUCAACCCCCGGACUGCUCUGGAAACUGCCAGGCUGGAGUGGAGGAGAGGUAAGUGGAAUUCGUAGUGUAGCGGUGAAAUGCGUAGAUAUUAGGAGGAACACCAGUGGCGAAGGCGGCGUACUGGACUGUCACUGACGUUGAGGCUCGAAAGCGUGGGGAGCAAACAGGAUUAGAUACCCUGGUAGUC
rnacentral:rRNA from 1 species